GUCCUCGUAGAUCAGUGGUAGAUCCUCCACUUGCAAUGUGAAAAAAUCCUUCGAGUAGGUGGAUGACGUGGGUUGGACUCCCACGGAGGGCU